UACGGAGGGAGCUAGCGUUGUUCGGAAUUACUGGGCGUAAAGCGCGCGUAGGCGGACUUGUCAGUCAGGGGUGAAAUCCCGAGGCUUAACCUCGGAACUGCCUUUGAUACUGCAAGUCUUGAGGAUGAGAGAGGUAAGUGGAACUGCGAGUGUAGAGGUGAAAUUCGUAGAUAUUCGCAAGAACACCAGUGGCGAAGGCGGCUUACUGGCUCAUUUCUGACGCUGAGGUGCGAAAGCGUGGGGAGCAAACAGG
rnacentral:rRNA from 1 species